UACGUAGGGACCAAGCGUUGUUCGGAUUUACUGGGCGUAAAGGGCGCGUAGGCGGCGUGGUAAGUCACUUGUGAAAUCUCUGAGCUUAACUCAGAACGGCCAAGUGAUACUGCUGUGCUAGAGUGCAGUAGGGGAGGACUGGAAUUCCUGGUGUAGCGGUGAAAUGACGCAGAUAUCAGGAGGAACACCGGUGGCGAAGGCGGGUCUCUGGGCCGUAACUGACGCUGAGGAGCGAAAGCGUGGGGAGCGAACAGG
rnacentral:rRNA from 1 species